AAUGGUCACCUGACCGUAACCAAACCAGAUCAGAAUUAACGUAUGGCCGACAUCUUCCGAAAGAGGAAAUAACGAAGUCGAAGAGUAAAUAAUGAGCGACAAUAAUUACGUCGUGGUUUCUGCGGACAACUGCUUCAAUACGGCUUGUGUAAACAGUAAAGUGACAAAAGUAUACAUUCUUUGCAUUGUAUUCUCUUCUUUCGGGCAUGCAGUCCAGUCCCAGCAAAAGUAACGGACUGCUGUAUGUACUGAUUGAGUUUCGGCCGUCGGCUAGCGGCUGUUCCCUGUUUCGUCGCGUCUCCGAGCUCGGUAUCACUGACCAAUUCUGCUGCUACAGUAUCAGCUACAAAAAAAGUACAAACUUUAUCACUUCGGCAUCGUUACCAAAUACCAACACAUCCUGACCGAUGACCUUAUCUGUGCAGAUCAAAUCAAACUGAAGAGGUGCAAAGUGCAGGAACCAAGUGUGAGGACUAACUGAUAACGGUUUCUAUUGGAAAACGUAUGUCAAUGGCUCUUUCAAUAGAUUUCAAAGGAUUAGACGACUCUGAUCAUGAUAACUCGAGAGAUCAUAAUAUCCUGGAAGGGAGCCCACAUGAAGGCAAAGAGGAGUUAAACAUGAGUCACGAGGAAAGACAAACUUUGCUUCAUGGAAAUGAUUCAUCUUCCAGCAAUGCCAUCUAUUCCAGUUACAGCUCAAGCAGCAGCAGGCUCAUGCCAAAACAUUUCAGCCCGGCUCGAUAUUGGAAAAACCUGAUAGUUAUAAGUCUUGCAUGCAUGUUUAUGUUCAGUGCAUACAGUGCCUUGGCAAACUUGCAGAGUAGUCUUCAUUACAGUGAAGGACUUGGUGUAGCCUCUCUAUGUGCUAUUUAUAUUGGUGUUAUCAUAUCCAGCUUGUUUGCACCUCUUGUGAUCUGGGUAUUGAAGGUGAAAUGGACUCUGGUCGUCUGUAGCGUGUUUUAUGCCAUCUUCUCAGCAAGCAAUAUCUACCCUGCUGUCUAUACCCUCAUUCCCGCAGCGGCUUUACUUGGGUUGGCUGCAUCCCCUUUCUGGACAGCUAUUGGUACCUACCUUACAACAUCGGCCAUUCAGCUUGCUGAUGUUCAGGAUGGGAUUCCGGAACCCAUCAUCAAUCGUUUCAAUGGCAUCUUCUUCUGCUUCUUCCAGUCCGCCCAGGUAUGGGGUAACCUCAUCUCCUCACUUGUGUUACAGAACACGUCUUCCUCUGAUACAAUGUCCCAAUGCGGACGUUCCAGUUGUGGAACUGGCAUCACCUUCAACAUCACCGGCAAUGUUGAGAUGGCUGGGGAGGAAACACUAGUCCUCAUCAUCAUCUAUAUCAUCCUUGGUCUCGUAGCAACGCUCAUCUACAUUUUCCUUGUAGAUAGUAUCCCAAAGGUCAAUUACAAAGGAACUAAAACAUGGAAAACUCAUCUAUCUGAUCACUUGGUUUCAACAUUCCAGUUGAUGAAGACCCCGUAUCUCUUUCUUCUGAUUCCACUCAUGAUUUAUAACGGAGCUGAGCAGGCAUUUAUAAGUGCAGAUUUCACCAAGAGUUUUGUCAGCUGUACGAAAGGAGCUGGUGAAGUCGGUUACGUCAUGAUCGGCUUCGGUGUUGCUGAUGCGUUGUCUUCGAUAAUCUUCGGCCAGCUCGAGAAGUAUUCGGGCCGGAUUGUGAUCUUCUUGUUUGGGGGUGUGGUCCAUUUGGCUCUUCUGAUUGGCUUUGAACUGUGGAACCCGGAGCACUCGGCAACAUGGCAGCUUGUUCUGUUUGCUGUGGGAUGGGGUAUCGGCGAUGCUGUCUGGCAAACACAAAUAUCAUCUCUGGUAGGUGUGAUAUUUCCGGAAUCUCAGGAGCCUGCCUUCGCAAACUUUCGACUGUGGCAAGCUGUUGGUUUCGCUGUGACCUACGCUCUGACCAUCCCGUCUGCUAUCUGCAUCUCUCACAAGAUAUACGGACUAAUGGCAUUUUUAUCAUUUUCCAUUAUUUGUUACAUCAUAGAGGAAUAUUUGAUAUCAAGACCAGCCCCUCCGUGGACAGAUUAAAGGACAAUGAAUUUUUGGAUAUAUGUAUAGUCGUGCAUAAAUUAGAUAAACAAAAUAAUAACAGAGAGGCGAAUUGAAAGAUCCAUAUGCGGUGGCGUGAGGGGCGCACGCCUCAUUAUUUGGACAAAUGCACAUUUAAUAUACAGUGUACAUAUUAAUAAAGCUAAAGCUUAUAAAAUAUGCAAACUCUAUUUCCAAAUUUGCUCUUUGCAUCCAAUCUAUUUCAAAAUCCUGGAUCCGCCACUGAAAUUGAACUCUCUUAAAGGAGGAUGAAAUCCUCAGAACCAGAUUAAUUGUUAAAAGACAAAUAUAAAUGAAACAUAUUAAUGAAAUGAUAUAUUCAACAGAACACUAAUGAAGCUGAUCACCAUAUACGAUCAGGAAAUAUAUUUGUUUGUUUCAAAGAAGAAAAGAGAUACAUAUUAUGAUUAGGUUCCAUUAAUUUAUAUAAUCUUAUUCAGUUAUUUAAGAGACCAUAACUCCAACCCGGGACUCCAACAUCCGAUUUUGAUGAAAUUUUCAGCAUUAUGCUUGUUGGAUUUUUCUUUUUUUAUUCAAAUCAACUUUUUGUUGGGAUGGACUUGUCUUCUAAUGGAACAAAAGGCCGGUUUCAACCAUAUCGAUUCUUCUGUUGUAGUAUUUAGCGUUUUCGGGAAUUUUUUCGUCUUGUGACGUAAAUAGGGAGAUUUUUGCAAUCGCGACGGGGUCGGAUUUUACAACAUAGAAAAUAUAUUGUCAAAGCCCUUCAUGACAAAGAAGUCUUUGUCGAAAUCGGUGAAUCAAAACAGCAGCUGUCCUGGUUCACCAGUUUUCGACCACGACCUCCCAGCUGUUCAUUUUGAUUUGACUUUGAUUGUCAAUACAUUUACUGUGUUCUUGAAUUCGUUCUGGGUUGUGGUGCGAUAACUCUCUGUUUACGAAUCAUUUGCGCUAUUGUACUCACUUUUUGACUAUUAAUCAGUAAAACUGUUGGUCGUUGCUAUUCAUCAAGAUUACUAAAUACUAAUGAAUAAAGAAAUAUAAUUUCUGUAA